rnacentral:rRNA from 1 species
UACGUAGGGCGCAAGCGUUAUCCGGAAUUAUUGGGCGUAAAGAGCUCGUAGGCGGUUUGUCGCGUCUGCCGUGAAAGUCCGGGGCUCAACUCCGGAUCUGCGGUGGGUACGGGCAGACUAGAGUGAUGUAGGGGAGACUGGAAUUCCUGGUGUAGCGGUGAAAUGCGCAGAUAUCAGGAGGAACACCAGCGGCGAAGGCGCCGCUCUGGGCCGUAACUGACGCUGAGGAGCGAAAGCAUGGGUAGCAAACAGG